UUCUUUUAAACAAGCGUCCAUCCAUCAACUUGGCAAGGUCACCAAGAGUGUUUCCUGCAUCUGUGAGGACGUUCUGCCCCCGUGUGGCCGCUGAGAGCAACUUCACUUCAUCUCUGCACGAACAACACUGGCUCAGGUCCCAAACUUCUCAACAUCAUAAAUCCGGAUUAGCAGAGCUCCUGAAAUCCCCCCUGAAUCCCACCUUCUGCCGGGAUAAUCCUGAUGUUUGGGCUCACAGGUGUCACAAUCUGAGUGAAAACAUACUGAAGGUUUCAUCCACAUCACAACCAAGACUGGACUCUGUGAUCUGAUCUGAUUUCAGAAUCCGUUUUCACAUUUUGAUCCAACCCAAUGACCAAAAUCUGAUCAGUUUGCACGAUACAGAAAGUAAAACUGCACAUACUACUGAGAAAGUGAUAUUACAAAUAAUAGCAUCUCAAUAAUAUGUGAAAAAUCAGCUUUAGUAAUUAGAUUUCUCUGGCUAUAGUUCACUAUCAUGUGCAUCAUCCUUUUCUAUUGUACUUUAAGGUUUAUUUUAUUUUUCUGAUUUUAAUUUUAAUUUUUUAGUAAUGCAUCAUACCUACAGUAUAUCUUAUUGCAUAUAUUCUGACAUUAUUGUGUGUUUUUCUAGCAACACCUGCCUCAAGAAUUUCUGUUUUAUCAUAGAUUACUUUCAACAACUCAUAUCAGGAAAAUAAUUUAUGUAAAAAUUGAAUUAACUGAUUAAAAUUGAAAUUAUAGCAACACAUAGAUGUUAAAAUAUAUCACACUGGUGUAAACACAAAAGUGCACAAAUAAAAUGCUUUAAAACCUG